rnacentral:lncRNA from 1 species
AUGUCCUCUGAAACAGAAUUUCUACUUGCGAAGGAUCAUCAGAAUAGACAGAUGAUUAGAGCAUUGAGACCCAGUGACACUCCAAAUAAGGAGCAGCCAAGAGGGAAACUUCUGCUUGUUUCUGUCACAUAUAGAAUAAGUUCUUGAGAGCAAGAGACAAAGCACCCAGGAUAUUCUGCUGUUGGACCUAGCUGUGGACUCAGAGAGAGACCAAGUGCGUAGAUGAACUGAAACAGCAAUGACUGGAGUGCCAAAAUAUCUCAGGAGAGUUGAGCGGAUACCUGUCAGUUAAGCUGAUGGUGGAAGUACCGCCCACCACAGAUGAACUGGAGGAGACAGAGAGGAAUGGCAGGAAGAACGAGAGGAGCGCUGGCCCGAGGCAGUGGCUGCCAGUGUGAGCCCUGAGGUCCAAACAGGUCAGGUUUUUCUGGGUCAUAUCUCCUACAGUGUAACGCCUGAGCGAGUGUCAGUGGGGAACAGGGUAUUAACAUUGCAACUUCUUUAAGACUUCUGGUAAGCUCAGUAUCUUUUCUGUCUUGAUAGGCCUGCCAAGAUUUGUGUGCAUUGCCUAGCAGUGUGCUUAACAGUCAGAUUUUCCUUCAUCUACUCUAGAUUUUUCCUAAUAAAAGGUGAUGAAACUUUUGUGGUGUGCCA